rnacentral:rRNA from 1 species
AUACGGAGGGUGCAAGCGUUAUUCGGAAUCACUGGGCGUAAAGGACGCGUAGGCGGGUUGGCAAGUCAGAUGUGAAAUCCUACAGCUUAACUGUAGGACUGCAUUUGAAACUGCUAACCUAGAGUAUGGGAGGGGGAGAUGGAAUUAGUGGUGUAGGGGUAAAAUCCGUAGAUAUCACUAGGAAUACCGAAAGCGAAGGCGAUCUCCUGGAACAUAACUGACGCUAAGGCGUGAAAGCGUGGGGAGCAAACAGGAUUAGAAACCCUUGUAGUCC